UUCUUUAAGUAUUGGAAGGGGUGGUGUGUGAAAGAUCCCCGAAGGGAGACCCUUACUCAAGUCUCAGGAAGUUGCGGACCCCAGACACAGAGAGACCA
rnacentral:pre_miRNA from 14 species